CACUCACCCAAUAAUCUGAGGGGGCGAUCCCUGAACCACCAUUGACAUCAUAGAGGUCAAUUAGUGACCCAGUUGGACUAAGAACUUGGCGGUUCAGGGAUCACCCCCUCAGAU